AUUGAACGCUGGCGGCAGGCCUAACACAUGCAAGUCGAGCGGAUGAAGGGAGCUUGCUCCUGGAUUCAGCGGCGGACGGGUGAGUAAUGCCUAGGAAUCUGCCUGGUAGUGGGGGAUAACGUCCGGAAACGGGCGCUAAUACCGCAUACGUCCUGAGGGAGAAAGUGGGUGAUCUUCGGACCUCACGCUAUCAGAUGAGCCUAGGUCGGAUUAGCUAGCUGGUGGGGUAAAGGCCUACCAAGGCGACGAUCCGUAACUGGUCUGAGAGGAUGAUCAGUCACACUGGAACUGAGACACGGUCCAGACUCCUACGGGAGGCAGCAGUGGGGAAUAUUGGACAAUGGGCGAAAGCCUGAUCCAGCCAUGCCGCGUGUGUGAAGAAGGUCUUCGGAUUGUAAAGCACUUUAAGUUGGGAGGAAGGGCAGUAAGUUAAUACCUUGCUGUUUUGACGUUACCAACAGAAUAAGCACCGGCUAACUUCGUG
rnacentral:rRNA from 1 species